rnacentral:ncRNA from 1 species
GGCGGUCAUGUUCGUGGUUGAAAGUCCAGGCCAGAUACGGGCGAAAGGAUCCACGUAAGCAGCCGCGGGGUGCGGCUGUGAUCAUGGCGUAUCUUAGAUGUAAGUCCUCCGGAAACCGGAUAAAGGCAAGUGUGGGGUCAAAGACCAGGUCGAGUGAUCCGCC